AGGCUAACGAGAGCUGGUACGUGGAGAGUUGUACCCAGAGAUGUCUGUGUCGAGGAGAAGGAGUGAUUGAGUGCCACGAAACUAGCUGUGGCCCUUCAGAGUCCUGUCAGCUGCAAGACGGAGAAUAUGGUUGUCAUCCUCUAGUUGGCUGUUUGUCAGAAUGUGACUUUGACACCUUCGAUGACUUGUGUGGCUGGACAACUAAAGCACCAGCAGACAUCGUUGGCUGGGAGCAGUGGCCUGGGUCCACAGAAACAGAGGGAACUGGGCCAGAUGACGACUACUCCAAGCCCGGACUUGGCCUAUACCUACUGUUGGACUCGAGCUACGCCAAGGAAGGAGCGGCAGCGGAGCUCUUAAGCCCUGCCACUUCCUCAGCAGGCUGUCUGCAGCUCUCUUUCCACUACUACAUGUACG